rnacentral:rRNA from 1 species
CAGCAGCCGCGGUAAUACGGAGGGUGCAAGCGUUAUCCGGAUUUAUUGGGUUUAAAGGGUCCGUAGGCGGACUUAUAAGUCAGUGGUGAAAGCCUGUCGCUUAACGAUAGAACUGCCAUUGAUACUGUAAGUCUUGAGUAUAUUUGAGGUAGCUGGAAUAAGUAGUGUAGCGGUGAAAUGCAUAGAUAUUACUUAGAACACCAAUUGCGAAGGCAGGUUACCAAGAUAUAACUGACGCUGAGGGACGAAAGCGUGGGUAGCGAACAGGAUUAGAUACCCGCGUAGUCCCUGUCUCUUAUAA